AACGAACGCUGGCGGCAGGCCUAACACAUGCAAGUCGAGCGAGGACUUCGGUUCUAGCGGCGGACGGGUGAGUAACGCGUGGGAAUGUGCCCUUCUCUACGGAAUAGCCCUGGGAAACUGGGAGUAAUACCGUAUACGCCCUAUUGGGGAAAGAUUUAUCGGAGAAGGAUCAGCCCGCGUUGGAUUAGGUAGUUGGUGGGGUAAUGGCCUACCAAGCCGACGAUCCAUAGCUGGUUUGAGAGGAUGAUCAGCCACACUGGGACUGAGACACGGCCCAGACUCCUACGGGAGGCAGCAGUGGGGAAUCUUAGACAAUGGGGGCAACCCUGAUCUAGCCAUGCCGCGUGAGUGAUGAAGGCCUUAUGGUUGUAAAGCUCUUUCAGCUGGGAAGAUAAUGACGGUACCAGCAGAAGAAGCCCCGGCUAACUCCGUG
rnacentral:rRNA from 1 species